GCCCCACCCAUCCUCUGCCGGUACCUCAUAGAUGCCGAAGCCAAUGGUGUGCAUGUCCUCGCCCAUCUUCCUCUGCCGUCGCCGGUGCUUCUGGAUGAGACCCACCAGGAAGGUCCCAGGCAUCAGGCUUGGCGCCAAGCAUCGUUACCUACUGGGCCAUCUCACUAGCCUGUGGGGUGUGUUUUACCCCAGAGGGCCCAAUAGCAGAGUGAACGUGAGCUGGAAAAGGAAGGAGGGACCACGGACCGGACCAUGAGCUGAUCCAGAGAGUAAAAGAACGCCUGCAGCUGCCUCGGUGACCAGCAGAGGGCAGCGCGCGCCAGGCAGCUGCCGCCCUGGAGGCCCCACCCCGGACAGCCACGUGCUAGCAGGGGGCGUACCUCCUCGGCUCCGGUGACAGAGUACGCAUGUCCUUUCACCAACUUCUGUGAGUGCACCAGCACCAGCACCAGCACCAGCACCAGCACCAGCACCUGAGGCUCCCGCUGCAGAGGGCUGACAUCCGGGGUGGACCCAGCACAACUUUGGGCCAGCUGGGUGAUACACAGCUAGGAUUAGAACCAGGAAGCCAUUCUUACCAGCCACCUGAUUUAUUCUGGGUGAGUUUCUACAGUUUUUCUACCCCUGCAAUGGGUAGCUUUGCCCACUGGCAGAAGCUUUUGGUCUUUUCAGCUAAGAGGCAAUGGGGGCCCACCAGAGAAGCAGAGUUCUUUCUCAAGGCCAGAGCAGACAGCCCCAGAAUGUCCCAGUUCACUUGCUCAGAAAGAGCAAUGACUGUCCUGUACCAGUACAUCAUGUGAACAGCCACCAUACCCAUAUUACCUCCUUGAAUUAAGAGCCAAAUUUGGGCCAAAGUCAUCCUUUUAUAGAACAGAAUGUCUAUUCAAAACAGUCCCCGAAAUAGCUCCCGCUGUUUUGGAGUCCAGGGCAGCAGAGGCAAGAUGGGGUGUUGGGGAAGGGCGUGGUUACUUACUUGGCAUAGGCUUUCUCCAGAAGGGCACUCCAGAACUCACUCCCUUCAGCUGAAUGCACAAAGAGCAGCUCCCCGUCCUUAGUGGGCAGCCUGUCGUCCACCACCACCUCCACCCACUCGCCAUAUUGCCAGAACUGCAGGGCAAGAGGGACAAGAUAGGGUGGCACUGAGACUCUGAGCCUUGGCCUCAUCCGGCUCUCCCCAGCCCAGCCCCUUGCUGUGGGUUCCUAUGAUGCUCUUCGGUGUCCUAUGUUAAGUGUGCCCCUCACCAAGCAAGAAGCCAGCGGAGCUCAUCUGUGUCUCCAAAGCCGCAUGCACUUCUUUAAAAAAAUAUCAUCUCUCACUUGCUAUCAUAAAAAGAUUUUUAACCUUUUAUCUCAACCCUCAAAUAAUAAACAUAAAAAAAAACCCCU
ensembl:antisense Gm37885 predicted gene, 37885